UACGAAGGGGGCUAGCGUUGUUCGGAUUUACUGGGCGUAAAGCGCACGUAGGCGGAUCUUUAAGUCAGAGGUGAAAUCCCAAGGCUCAACCUUGGAACUGCCUUUGAUACUGGGGACCUCGAGUCCGGGAGAGGUGAGUGGAACUGCGAGUGUAGAGGUGAAAUUCGUAGAUAUUCGCAAGAACACCAGUGGCGAAGGCGGCUCACUGGCCGAUGACUGA
rnacentral:rRNA from 1 species